rnacentral:rRNA from 1 species
UACGAGGGGGGCAAGCGUUGUUCGGAAUUAUUGGGCGUAAAGGGCGCGUAGGCGGUCUGAUAAGUCUUGUGUGAAAUCUCUGGGCUCAACCCAGAGUCUGCAUAGGAAACUGUCGGGCUUGAGUAUGGGAGAGGUGCGUGGAAUUUCCGGUGUAGCGGUGAAAUGCGUAGAUAUCGGAAGGAACACCUGUGGCGAAAAGCGGCGCACUGGACCAAAAACUGA